rnacentral:lncRNA from 1 species
GUAAAUUCAAAAGAAAUAAAAGCAUUGUGUCACAAAAUCAUUAAAUGAAAUAAAAGCAUUGUGUCACAAAAUCAUAAAAUGAAAUGAAAGUAUUGUGUCAAGAAAUCAUAAAAUGAAAUAAAAGUAUUGUGUCAAGAAAUCAUUUGCAUGGUGUGGAAAAUUCACCUCUUUUUAUUUAGAUUUUUUGCAAUAGCCAAAAAAAGACAUCUUUUUAUCAUCAAAUUGAAAAAAAAAAAAUAUAUCUGUGAGAAAGAAA